rnacentral:rRNA from 1 species
GACGAACGCUGGCGGCGUGCUUAACACAUGCAAGUCGAACGGAAAGGCCCUGCUUUUGUGGGGUGCUCGAGUGGCGAACGGGUGAGUAACACGUGAGUAACCUGCCCUUGACUUUGGGAUAACUUCAGGAAACUGGGGCUAAUACCGGAUAGGAGCUCCUGCUGCAUGGUGGGGGUUGGAAAGUUUCGGCGGUUGGGGAUGGACUCGCGGCUUAUCAGCUUGUUGGUGGGGUAGUAGCUUACCUAGGCUUUGACGGGUAGCCGGCCUGAGAGGGUGACCGGCCACAUUGGGACUGAGAUACGGCCCAGACUCCUACGGGAGGCAGCAGUGGGGAAUAUUGCACAAUGGGCGGAAGCCUGAUGCAGCAACGCCGCGUGCGGGAUGACGGCCUUCGGGUUGUAAACCGCUUUCGCCUGUGACGAAGCGUGAGUGACGGUAAUGGGUAAAGAAGCACCGGCUAACUACGUG